rnacentral:rRNA from 1 species
UACGAAGGGGGCUAGCGUUGCUCGGAAUCACUGGGCGUAAAGGGUGCGUAGGCGGGUCUUUAAGUCAGGGGUGAAAUCCUGGAGCUCAACUCCAGAACUGCCUUUGAUACUGAGGAUCUUGAGUUCGGGAGAGGUGAGUGGAACUGCGAGUGUAGAGGUGAAAUUCGUAGAUAUUCGCAAGAACACCAGUGGCGAAGGCGGCUCACUGGCCCGAUACUGACGCUGAGGCACGAAAGCGUGAGGAGCAAACAGG